rnacentral:rRNA from 1 species
AAUGAACGCUGGCGGCAGGCCUAACACAUGCAAGUCGAACGGAUCCUUCGGGAUUAGUGGCGGACGGGUGAGUAACGCGUGGGAACAUACCCAAAGGUACGGAAUAGCCUCGGGAAACUGGGAGUAAUACCGUAUGUGCUCGAAAGAGGAAAGAUUUAUCGCCUUUGGAUUGGCCCGCGUUGGAUUAGGUAGUUGGUGGGGUAAUGGCCUACCAAGCCGACGAUCCAUAGCUGGUUUGAGAGGAUGAUCAGCCACACUGGGACUGAGACACGGCCCAAACUCCUACGGGAGGCAGCAGAGGGGAAUCUUAGACAAUGGGGGAAACCCUGAUCUAGCCAUGCCGCGUGAUCGAUGAAGGCCUUAGGGUUGUAAAGAUCUUUCAGGUGGGAAGAUAAUGACUGUACCACCAGAAGAAGCCCCGGCUAACUCCGUGCCAGCAGCCGCGGUAA